UAGCCUACGGGACGCAGCAGUGGGGAAUAUUGCACAAUGGGGGGAACCCUGAUGCAGCGACGCCGCGUGAGUGAAGAAGUAUUUCGGUAUGUAAAGCUCUAUCAGCAGGGAAGAUAAUGACGGUACCCCUUUAGGAAGCCACGGCUAACUACGUGCCAGCAGCCGCGGUAAUACGUAGGUGGCGAGCGUUGUCCGGAAUUACUGGGUGUAACGGGAGUGUAGGCGGGGAAGCAAGUUAGAUGUGAAAACUAUGGGCUUA
rnacentral:rRNA from 1 species